rnacentral:rRNA from 1 species
ACUCCUACGGGAGGCAGCAGUGGGGAAUAUUGCACAAUGGGCGCAAGCCUGAUGCAGCCAUGCCGCGUGUAUGAAGAAGGCCUUCGGGUUGUAAAGUACUUUCAGCAGUGAGGAAGGGUGGGUAUGUUAAUAGCAUAUCUUUGCAAUCGAUUGAUGCUGCAGAAGAAGCACCGGCUAACUCCGUGCCAGCAGCCGCGGUAAUACGGAGGGUGCGAGCGUUAAUGGAAUUUACUGGGCGUAAAAGCGCAUGCAGGU